rnacentral:rRNA from 1 species
UGUGCCAGCAGCCGCGGUAAUUCCAGCUCCAUAGCGUAUAUUAAAAUUGUUGCGGUUAAAAAGCUCGUAGUUGGAUAUCUGCUGAGGGGUUUCGGUACUUCCCAGUGAAGAUUACACGGAACUCUUCUUGGCAUUUGUUCAGGGAAAGUUUCUGCACUUGAUUGUGUGGGACAGGAACUGAAUUUUUACUUUGAGGAAAUGAGAGUGUUUCAAGCAGGCAUUUGCCGUGAAUAUGAUAGCAUGGAAUAAUAGCACAGGACCCCGUUCCAAGCUGUUGGUUUUUGAGACGAGGUAAUAAUAAUAAGGAUAGUUGGGGGCAUUUGUAUUUCAAUGUCAGAGGUGAAAUUCUUGGAUUAUUGAAAGACAAACUAUUGCGAAGGCAUCUGCCAAGGAUGUUUUUAUUGAUCAAGAACGAAAGUUAGGGGAUCGAAGACGAUCAGAUACCGUCGUAGUCUUAACCUUAAACUAUGCCGAUUGGAGAUUGGACAGUGUAACUUUACGACCUGUUCAGCAUCCUGAGAGAAAUCGAAAUCUUUGGGUUCCGGGGGGAGUAUGGUCGCAAGGCUGAAACUUAAAGGAAUUGACGGAAGGGCACCACCAGGAGUGGAGCCUGCGGCUUAAUUUGACUCAACACGGGGAAACUUACCAGGUCCAGACAUAGAUAGGAUUGACAGACUGAUAGCUCUUUCUUGAUUCUAUGGGUGGUGGUGCAUGGCCGUUCUUAGUUGGUGGAGUGAUUUGUCUGGUUAAUCCCGUUAACGAACGAGACCUUAACCUGCUAAAUAGUUCGCUGAACCCUCGGGUUCUGACGUAACUUCUUAGAGGGACUUCAUGUGUUUAGCUUGAGGAAGUUUGAGGCAAUAACAGGUCUGUGAUG